rnacentral:lncRNA from 1 species
GGAUGCAGUUUGAUUAAAGGAUUGAAUUGCACGGUAACUUGCCACUGAAGGGUAUUUUUGGUAUUUCUACCAAAUUUCAUAUUUUUCGGGUAGACAUGACACGUUGCUAGACGUCAAUCUUGUCUUAUAGGUUUGAUCGAAUUAAAGAGUUUAAUUCGAUCACCAAUUAGAAAGGAUUCUAAUUGUUAAGUUCAGGUUCGC